CGCGGUGAAUACGUUCCCGGGCCUUGUACACACCGCCCGUCAAGCCACGGAAGCCGAGGGCGCCUGAAGUCGGGGGAUUAAAUCCCUGCCGAGGGCGAAAUGGGUAACUGGGGCU
rnacentral:rRNA from 1 species